rnacentral:rRNA from 1 species
UACGAAGGGGGCUAGCGUUGCUCGGAAUCACUGGGCGUAAAGCGCACGUAGGCGGACUCUUAAGUCGGUGGUGAAAUCCUGGAGCUCAACUCCAGAACUGCCUCCGAUACUGGGAGUCUUGAGUCCGGGAGAGGUGAGUGGAACUGCGAGUGUAGAGGUGAAAUUCGUAGAUAUUCGCAAGAACACCAGUGGCGAAGGCGGCUCACUGGUCCGGUACUGACGCUGAGGUGCGAAAGCGUGGGGAGCAAACAGG